GAUGAACGCUAGCGGGAGGCCUAACACAUGCAAGCCGAGCGGUAUUGUUUCUUCGGAAAUGAGAGAGCGGCGUACGGGUGCGGAACACGUGUGCAACCUGCCUUUAUCUGGGGGAUAGCCUUUCGAAAGGAAGAUUAAUACUCCAUAAUAUAUUGAACGGCAUCGUUUAAUAUUGAAAGCUCCGGCGGAUAGAGAUGGGCACGCGCAAGAUUAGCUAGUUGGUGAGGUAACGGCUCACCAAGGCGAUGAUCUUUAGGGGGCCUGAGAGGGUGAUCCC
rnacentral:rRNA from 1 species